rnacentral:rRNA from 1 species
UACGGGGGGGGCAAGCGUUGUUCGGAAUUACUGGGCGUAAAGGGCUCGUAGGCGGCUCUUUCAGUCGGAUGUGAAAUCCCCAGGCUUAACCUGGGAACGGCAUCCGAUACUGGAGGGCUUGAAUUCGGGAGAGGGAUGCAGAAUUCCAGGUGUAGCGGUGAAAUGCGUAGAUGUCUGGAGGAACACCAGCGGCGAAGGCGGCGCUCUGGGCCGGUACUGACGCUGAGGAGCGAAAGCGUGGGGAGCAAACAGG